rnacentral:rRNA from 1 species
GAUGAACGCUAGCUACAGGCUUAACACAUGCAAGUCGAGGGGAAACGAUGAGAGAGCUUGCUCUCUUAGUCGUCGACCGGCGCACGGGUGAGUAACGCGUAUCCAACCUGCCUCUGACCAAGGGAUAACCCGUCGAAAGUCGGACUAAUACCUUAUGCAGUCGUCGGAAGUCAUCUGAUGACGACGAAAGAUUUCAUCGGUGAGAGAUGGGGAUGCGUCUGAUUAGCUUGUUGGCGGGGUAACGGCCCACCAAGGCGACGAUCAGUAGGGGUUCUGAGAGGAAGGUCCCCCACAGUGGCACUGAGACACGGUCCAAACUCCUACGGGAGGCAGCAGUGGGGAAUAUUGGUCAAUGGGCGUGAGCCUGAACCAGCCGAGUAGCGUGCAAGAUGGCGGCCCUAUGGGUUGUAAACUGCUUUUAGGGGGGGAUAAAGUGAGGGACGUGUCCUUCAUUGCAGGUACCGCAUGAAUAAGGACCGGCUAAUUCCGUG